rnacentral:rRNA from 1 species
UCCGUAGACGGUGCGGCAAGUCGGAAGUGAAAUCUCAGGGCUUAACCCUGAGGCUGCUUCCGAAACUGCCGUGCUGGAGUGCGAGAGAGGCGAGUGGAAUUGCAGGUGUAGCGGUGAAAUGCGUAGAUAUCUGCAGGAACAUCCGAGGCGAAAGCGGCUCGCUGGAUCGCAACUGACGCUGAGGGACGAAAGCUAGGGGAGCAAACAGGAUUAGAUACCCUGGUAGUCCUAGCCCUAAACGAUCAGGACUGGGCGUGGGCCUCGUACGGGGCUCGUGCCGCAGCUAACGCGUUAAGUCCUGCGCCUGGGGAGUACGGUCGCAGGGCUGAA